UUUUGCUCUUUCCAUUCUAACCAAUCUAGUGUCAUGAUACUUGCCUGAAACUGGUGGUGAGCAGACCUCUCAGCAUGUUACAGAGAUUAAUGAAUUUGUCUUCUCAAUGUCCCCCAGAGGCAGGAAAGCUUUGUGCAGAAAAGGAAACUGGGAAUCCAGGGAGAUUAAUGGAUUUGGUGAAGAUUACAAGGGAAGUAGUGGCACAGAGGUGAUGAGCUUUCUUAUCUCCCAGUCCUGUCCUUGCAUCGAGAGUCAUCUUGCUGGGAAAAACUGCUGUUUCUAUUACUACUAAAUCACAGAAUCACAGAAUCACAGAAUGGCCUGUGUUGGAAGGGACCUCAAGGAUCGUGAAUCUCCAACCCCCCCACCACAGAAUUUGCAACUGAACUCCUUACUAAAAUCACACGCAGCAGUGAUUUCCAGGAAUGCAGUGAUGUCCAGGAAGGCACUGAUGUCCAGGAAGGACCAUAUUCCAUGGUCUUUGGAGAGAUCUUGUCGUUACUUGCCUGCUGAAUUUAGGAUCUUUGUUACCUUAAUCCUAAAUAAAACUGCUCUUAAAACGUCAUUCAAGGCCCUUUUUCAGUAUUUGUUUACCCUGAGCUGUUCUGAGGUUCUUACAAGACAUGUACACCUUUGUGCAAGUGGAAAACAUGAUUUAUUUGUAUGUCUCCUGGAUUCUUCUGUCUUGACAUGCUCCUUGAUGCAGCCUUUGAUUAUUUCAACUUAUGAACAGUCAAGAGUCCAAUGUUAAGGAAUUAUUAUACAGCAAAAAUAAUAACAAAUGAAUGAGUAGAAUUUCAGCUGUGAUCCAGAUCAGUUCUACAGAGGCUGAACCCUCCCACCAAGAUUCCAUUACAUUUGUUGCCAUGUGACAGAUGACAGCAAAAGGGCAGUCUGACAAAACUGCGUCUGACAUGGAAGUGUUUAUGAAGAACCAGUAUGGAAUUGAAUUCCUCCAUGCAGAAAAAAUGGCGCCCACUGACAUUCAUUGACACUUGCUGUAGGAUGUGAGCACAGUGAGGGGUGGACGGUGCAUUUCAGCAAUGGUGACAGCGCCAUGAAAGACAAGCCACAUUCCAGACUGCCAUGCACAGCUGUCACACCAUAAAAUGAAGAGCAUCUUGACCAACCCAUCUGAGCAAAUCAACUAAUGGUGGUGACUGUGUUGAAAAGAUAGAAUUUUUAUCUGGGAAUUACCUAUAUCAAAUAGUGUUAUUGUUCUCUUUGCACCUGCUGUAGUUUUCAUUUGUGGGUUUUAUUUUUUGUUGUUUGUUUGUUCAUUUGUUUUAAUCUUGUAUUCUGCUUCCUGUGAUUAAAAGCAAGCUGUUUACACAACGUUUAUUACUAAGCAAAGAAAGUCCUCCAUCUGAACAAAUCCAGUUGUUAUACAUGACUAUGAAACAACACAUGUUCAUAUCCAUUUCUGUACAUGUUUACAGUUCAGUGUUUCCAUCCAAUUCAUUAAACAGCUGUCUGCUCUUCUUUCAACAUUAUUUGUGCUCACAUUUACAAACCACAGGUAAUUAGAAAUAAUAUUUGAAACAAAGGCCUUUUGGGAUAUUAAUCAAUGAAAAAAAUAUUACCUGUGAGAUUUUAUAUGAUAGGCACAACUAUCAGACAGAACAUUACUCUUACUAUAUUAUUUUUGGUUUCAAGGCUUCUUAGUCAUAGUAGAAAUGCAAUAUUUUGCAGGAAAAUUCAAUACUUCAUCAGAUGCCUGAUGUAUUUUUUUAGUAUAAAUAUUACUGUGUUUAACCUCACAAUGUCUUUGGGGGAAAAAUCAGACUAAUUCAAGCACCUUUUCAAGCAACAAGGAAAUAGCAUAUGUGAUUUUCAGUGCAUAAUUCAGUCUCUCAAGUAACCCUGAGGAGAUUGAGAAGACUACCUGUAUCUUCCUUUACAGUCAAAAUUUUUCAUGGUAUCUAUAUAUCUAUUUUCCAGCAGGUAUUGCAGUCUUCAAAAAAUGGCCUUAAAUUCAUGUGCACACGAGGGAUUUUUCCUGAGAAACCAAACAUUAGGCAUAAUUGAUAAAGUGCGUGCAAACAUGACUGUGCAUUUAAAUAUGUGAAGAACUAUAACCUAAUUCCUUUUUGGUUAUUCUCUUCUAUCACGUCUUUGUUGAUAAACCACUGCAAUAUAAGUGUUGUCUGCCCUUUUUCCUUCUUUUGCCUUCAUAUAUUUUAAAAAAUGAACCAGAAGAAAUAAGUGGAAGAUAGCACAUAUGUUAGGAAAAAAUCAGAGAAGUAAGUAGGGAGAAAGAAAAUCAUAAGAGAAAUCCACAGCAGAACAAUAAUAUUCACCAUCUGUUUUCCAAACUUACCAAACUUUAAGUACAUAGCUAUGAGAGUCCAUUGUAGUAGGUGCUAUUGAACUUACCAAACACCAGGCUUUUAAACACAGUCAUUUUUGUUUUCCUCACAAGCUUUGGAAGUUAAACAUUUGAAUUUACAGAGCUACAACCAGUUUUAUGAGUUCAUGAUGGUUCAGUAUUUGUUUCUCUUGUAAUCUCAACUGUGAGGAAGAUUUGGGCUUUUAAAAUGACUGUUUACAAGGCAUUCAGCUUCCAGACAUUGAUGUAUUUUGCUUUCUUUCUAAUCAUCAUCCAAUCUCUUAAAUGCUUUUACAAAUUAAGCUUGAAUGCUCCUCCUGAUAUCAAAUACAGCAUAUUAUUUCUAAUGAUUCUUUCUACUCUUUGAAAUGCCACUCAACUUUUUUUUUUACUGUAACCAUUAGAUAUAUCUAUACAAAAUAAAUAAAUGAGAAGACUAUUUCUAACAUGCAAACCUUGACACAUUUAUCAGUUAUGUUUCAACAACGUUUUAGUUGGUAAUGAAACACUCAUCUCUGUUUUCUUUAUACUAUGAUGUUGUGCCUCAUGACAGAACUUCACGAAGUUUCUUUUAACACUGUUGAUGAUAUUUCUGGGAAUCUCUGUUAACUAAUGAAUGUUACAUUUAUAAUCUAUUCUAAACACAUUUAACUUGUUAAAAAUAUUGUCUACAGAAACUGUAUGAAUG
ensembl:lncRNA